rnacentral:lncRNA from 1 species
AAGAUAAAAGAUAAUCUGCCUCUGGUGGCUACAAAAGAUGUUUAAAACAUAGGUUUUAGAAAUGUAAAACGUGCAUAAUGAAAUGACCAAAAGGCCCUUGAGAAAUCAUAAGUUCGAGUGAAAUUGAGACGCGCAGCGACCUCGGCUCGUCGCUCCAGGCUUCGGGAGCGACCUCGCUGGGUCGCUGCGAGAGGUCGCUCCGAGAGCGAUUUCUUGUCUCCGGGAACCAAGAUGGCGAGCGACUUCUCCCUGUCGCUCUGGACAGGUCGCUCCAAGCUUCGGGAGCGACCUCGCUGGGUUGCUGCGAGAGGUCGCUCCGAGAGCGAGUUGUGUGUCUCCGGACGUGAAAACGCGAGCGACUUUGUGCAGUCGCUCCAACGGGUCGCUCUGGAUCGGGAGCGACCUUGGUAGGUCGCUCUGAGAGGUCGCUCCAGGGUCAUCUAAGACUGUUCGGAGUAAUGAGAACGCGAGCGACUUCAUGGCGUCGCUUUAGGAAGGUCGCUCUGAGAAGUGGGACACAGCGACUUCGUGAUGUCGCUCCGGGAGGUCGCUCCCAUGCUCGGUUCGUCCAAUGGUCACCUUUUCACCUCUUUUGAGCUCCAAAUAACCUCAUGUGGUAUUCCAGUACCUAAUAGAGACUCAUGUAUGCAAAAUGCAACCUAAACAUGUCUGAAUCCUAAUCUAUAUGAUGAAAAUGCUCAUGGAUGAAUGGAUAAAACAAUGCAAAUAUGCAAGAUAUCAACUCCCCCAAACUUGUUCUUUUACUUGUCCACAAGUGAACUUUCUAGAACUCAUAGGGAGAGAGGUUGAAGGAGGGAGCACAUAGCCAAAAGAAACACAACUAGCACACUCUCUUAUUACACUCUAGCUUCUCUAGGCCUAUCUUAACUCUUUUUGUUCUUACACUCAUCAUCAAGCAUCCACACAUUCAAAUCAACCAACUCUCACAUUCAUUAAGCACAAAACAUCAGGUGAAUUCUUGCAAAUGGUCAGUUGGUCUAAGUCAUUUGGUUGGGUAAGGGAAGGCUUUUAUUCAAGUGAUUCAAGAGGUUCAAAACAUAUGAUCUUUAAGGUGGUUUACUCUCAAAACAAGUAGCCUUGACAUUGCACAUAAUAUAUCUAAGAAAGGGACCAACUCAUGCAUACAAUGCUCAAUCUCCAUUGUUCUACCCUUUUCUCAAACAUACAAAUCACACAAUCAUUUCCCAAUGUCAAACCCAACUCACAUCUCUCACCAAAAGAUCCUAAGAACUUUAACUCCUUCUCUUUGAAAUCUACAAGGGAUUUUUUCACAACCUCAAAACAUUUCUUAGUUCCUAACAACUUUGCUAGCCCCCUUUUCUUUCUUUUUCUCUUUUUUUUUUUCUCUUUUUUUUUUCGUUUUUCUUUUUCUCUUUUUUUUUUUUUUUUUUUUAGGCUGGGGGCCAAGACUUUUCCAAACUUGAGCUAGAGGCUUCUAUACUGGUCCCAAUAAAACAAUUCACUUAAGCACAAAGAGUCUAUUCUUUUCCUUUUUCAUUUCUCCCAAAUCAUAAUCACAACACUCACCCCCACCUAUAGCUAGACAAUAGAGUGUCCAAUCUAGCAAGAAUGAAGAUCAAGCAUUGUCGUUCCCGAUACUCUCAACAUUAUGCACAUGUAAGACUUUCCGAAAAAGGCCUCACUCAUCAAACAAUGAAAGCUUAAAAGGAGGAAAAGGUUUUGGGAGUGGUCUACCACUAGAGUUUGUCAAAAAAGAUUGGCAUAAAAGAUGUGACAACUCAAGUGUGUAUAGCCAUGACUUAGUACACAAGGGACCAUGAGCAAGAAACAUUAAGUUCGUUCAGUUCAAAUAAAGUUGUAGUUGGCUUCAAAGACUGAGUUUCAGCAAUCAACAAGUUUCAGGAAGAGUUUUCAAGGCUCGAAACAUACAAGUCUUUUUGAGAGGUGCAAAAGCUACUCAGGUGCAACGUAGUGUUCUUUACAAGGCAUUUAAAAUUAUUGCUCCCAAUGCAAGUGAAUGCAACCUAUAUGCUCUAGACUCUCCUAGAAAUGCAAUUGAUGCAAACUAAAUGAUUGAUUUUUUUUAUAUGCAAAUAAGUAUGCAAUGCAUGACUCAAUGAAACAACAUCAAAGCAAACAUGAUCAAAUACUUGGUACCUCCCCCAAACUUGAGUUACCCAGUCUCUGUGUUGUCAAGUAGAGAGAGAUACCGAAAAGAAGACUAAUAUGCAAAAAUAAAAUGGUAUAUACAGGGGAGUGUGGUGGGUUAUCUUCUAUGGGGAAUGAGUAGAGGGAGAUGAUCCCUCCUCGUCGUCCUCAGGUGGUAACUCUUCAAGGUGCUCAUCAGCAGGAGUGUCCAUCUCUUCAAUGUAGAAGGCUUGCCCGAACACAGUUGGUUUCCUCAUUUUCCUUUGAUGUCAAAGUGGAGGAUGUUCUCUUUACCCAAAUGGAGAUCAAUCGUGCCUUCCUUCACAUUAACAAUAGCUCCUGCUGUAGCUAAGAAUGGUCUUCCUAGAAUCAAUGGAUCUUGAGCCUCCUCACCCAUCUCAAGCACCACAAAAUCUGUAGGUAUCUCAUACCUUCCAAUCUUCACAGGGAGGUCCUCUAAGAUGCCCACAGGAUACUUCACUGAACGAUCAGCUAACACCAGAGAGAGUCUACACUUCUUGUACUGAGUGAAUCCAAGCUUCUUUGCAACAGACAAAGGCAUCAAGCUGACACUAGCUCCCAAAUCGCAGAGACUUUUCUCAAAUACCAUAGGUCCAAGAGCACAAGGUAGUGUGAAGCUUCCUGGAUCCUCUAAUUUCUCUGGAACAUCAAGCCUCUGGAUGAUGGCAUUGCACUCAUGGGUAAGAAUCAUCAUGCCUUCCAUCUCCUUCUUCUUUGCAGCUACAACAUCUUUCAGGAACUUGUUGUAUUGAGGAAUCAACAUGAAAGCAUCGAUGAUGGGCAUUGCAACCUGAGCUUCACUCAUUUGCUUCUCAAACAGAGCCUUGUACUUCUCUAGCAGCUGCUUCUUGAAUCUACCAGGGAAUGGAAGUUUGGGUUCAUAGGGAGGAGGAACAAAAGAACUUUCACUUGCUGGAGUAACAACUUCACCAUCCUUUACUGUCUUCUUCUCUUCCCCAACCUUUCCUUUACCUUUGGCUUCCACUAUCUUCUCCAAGAUCUCGUCAUUGAUCUUCUCAUCAACAAUCACCACUUCAUCAUCUAUGUUGAUGGCAACCCCCUCACCUAGUUUCUCAGCAUCCUUGGUGAGGGUUCUAGGAGGUAACUGCUUACCACUCCUAAGGGUGAUAGCUUUGGCCUCCUUGGGAUUUUGGUCAGACUUUCCAGGUAGAGAUCCUUGCUGGCGAUUCUGGUGAGUGUUCAUGGAAGCAAAUUGAUUCUCUAAAUUCCUGACUGUAGAAGCAAGGUGUGAGAAUUUGUUGUUGAGCUCAUUGUAGCUCCCAUCAAUCUUGGAAUGAAGGUUCUUCAACUCAUAACCAACUUGCUUCUCACUUCUAGUCUGAGACUCCAAGAUUUGUUUCAGUAAGGUAUCAGUGCUGCUCUCUUGAGGAGCAGAGGAACCAGACGAGGGGUUUUGCUGAGGCUGAUAGCUGCCUUGCUGGUUGUUUCUAGGCGGAUAACCACUCUGUUGGUUGUUGGGAUAGGAUUUCUGUUGGUAGUUGUUGUACUGAAAGUUGGGCUCCUUUUUGUACCAGCUACCAUUGUUGUUGAUGAAACACAACUCCUCUUGACCUUCCAAACCCUCAACCUCAUUGACAGCAAGUGGAUCUUCCUGCUUGGAGUUACCAACAAACUUCAGCUGCUCUUGGGUGGCUUUUUCAGCAAUGAGUAGGUCGAUCUUGUCUUCCAAAGCUUUGAUCUCUUUCCUCGUCUGCUUAUCAUCUGUUCUACUGCCUCUGUCGUGGUCUCCACUGUAGACUGCAUCACUCUUUACCAUGUUGUCAACCAGCUCUUCUGCAUCCUCCUCAGUUCUCCCCAAGAAGAACCCAUUGCUAGCUGUAUCCAGUCUGGCUCUGUACUUAGGAAGAGCACCACGGUAGAAUGUGCUCAGCAAGCUCUCCUUAGAAAAGCCAUGGUGUGGGCAUUGAGCUUGGUAGCCCUUGAAUCUCUCCCAGGCUUCACUGAAGCCUUCCAAGUUCUUCUGUUGAAAGCUGGAAAUCUCGUUUCUCAGCUUAGCAGUUCUUGAAGUAGAGAAGAACUUCUCCAAGAAUGCUUUCUUGCAGUCAUCCCAAGUAGUGAUGGAGUCACUGGGUAGAGACUUCUCCCACUGACGUGCCUUAUCCCCCAAAGAGAAAGGGAAUAGCUUGAGCUUUAAGGCAUCUUCGGACACACCAUUAGUUUUUGACAACCCACAGUAGCUGUCGAACCUGUCCAAGUGAUCAAAUGGAUCCUCUAGAGCCAAGCCAUGAUACUUGUUGUUCUCGAUCACGUUGAGGAGUCCUGAUUUGAUCUCAAAGUUGUUGGCUGCCACAGCGGGUGCUCGGAUUCCCAAUCUAUGACCAUGAAUGUUGGGGCGGUCGUAAGUGCCAAUGGGUCGAGCUGCUCGCUGUUGGUUUUGAGGUAUAUCUCCCAUAUCAGUACUCAAUCUCUGCAAGUGAGCCUGUUGCUCUUCUUCUCUUCUAUUUCUAGCACACUCUCUCUCUAAAGCUCUGAUGUCUGCAGCUAUUGGAACUAGGUUUGAUGGACCCCUGCUCCUCAAGUUCAUACACCUGUAGAUUAGAGGGAGGUGAAGAAAGAGAAUCAGUAACAAAAGAAAAUAAAAAUGACUUAGUCUCAAGCAAGUGACUAAAUCUCAAUGUUCAAAUCUACUCAGAAUUUGGCAACGGCGCCAAUUUGAUGUUAGGAGUUUUCAAGGCUCCUAAGACAAAUGUUGUAGUAUAGAAGAUUGUCGAACCAGUUCUGAGGGAUAUCAAAGCACUGAGAAUGCAAGUACUCACUUAAUCUAAGUGCAACCAAUGAUUUAGAUGGGUUUUAAACUAUGACUAAUUAAAAGCAAUAACAAAUGAUACUUUCUUGACUAAGGGAAAAGAGAACUCAUGGGCAUAGGGAUUAGACCUUGGGUGAUCAAGUAUCGAACUAAGGAUGGCAAAUGAUCAAUCAAACUAUCAACCUUAAGCCUAGACACAAUUCUAAGCAAGCUCUAUGUCUAGAUGAAUGCUCAUUUGCUAACAUAUCUCAAACAUCAAAUGUCUUUGGUUGAAUAAUAUGAAAGCAAUCAUUACUAACAAGUCUAUUAGCUAUCUUAGCACCUUUAACAACAAAUGUCUUUGGCAAAGUAUACUAAAAGCCUAGGAGAGUUGUCUCGGGCAUUUCAUCGAACACCUUUCGGGUGAGAAAUGCCUAAGGAUCAACAACUGAGUGGCCAACUCAGAAGAUGCAUUAUGAUUACUCUACUAGCAAGGAAAUAUGAAUGAUCUACACUAAAACAUCCUAGCUCUAACCUAAUCACCCUUAAUCUCCCUAACCCAUGAAUUCAAAAGGUGAUUACUCACUAAUCUCCAUGAUUCCUCUUAAACCCAUAUUGGAUUUCAGAUUAACCAUGUAGAGAAAUAGAUAAGAAAUCAACAAGAACACAAGAACAUAACAAAUCAAAAUCCAAGAGAUGGACUUCUCAAGAGAGUUCUUGUGUAUUUCUCAAUAGAUCCAAAAGAUAAAAGAUAAUCUGCCUCUGGUGGCUACAAAAGAUGUUUAAAACAUAGGUUUUAGAAAUGUAAAACGUGCAUAAUGAAAUGACCAAAAGGCCCUUGAGAAAUCAUAAGUUCGAGUGAAAUUGAGACGCGCAGCGACCUCGGCUCGUCGCUCCGACAAGUCGCUCCAGGCUUCGGGAGCGACCUCGCUGGGUCGCUGCGAGAGGUCGCUCCGAGAGCGAUUUCUUGUCUCCGGGAACCAAGAUGGCGAGCGACUUCUCCCUGUCGCUCUGGACAGGUCGCUCCAAGCUUCGGGAGCGACCUCGCUGGGUUGCUGCGAGAGGUCGCUCCGAGAGCGAGUUGUGUGUCUCCGGACGUGAAAACGCGAGCGACUUUGUGCAGUCGCUCCAACGGGUCGCUCUGGAUCGGG